GACGAACGCUGGCGGCGUGCUUAACACAUGCAAGUCGAACGGAAAGGCUCCAGCUUGCUGGAGUACUCGAGUGGCGAACGGGUGAGUAACACGUGGGUAAUCUGCCCUGCACUCUGGGAUAAGCCUGGGAAACUGGGUCUAAUACUGGAUAUGACCUUUCUCCUUAUGGGGUUUGGUGGAAAGUUUUUCGGUGUAGGAUGAGCCCGCGGCCUAUCAGCUUGUUGGUGGGGUGAUGGCCUACCAAGGCGACGACGGGUAGCCGGCCUGAGAGGGUGAUCGGCCACAUUGGGACUGAGAUACGGCCCAGACUCCUACGGGAGGCAGCAGUGGGGAAUAUUGCACAAUGGGCGGAAGCCUGAUGCAGCGACGCCGCGUGAGGGAUGACGGCCUUCGGGUUGUAAACCUCUUUCAGCAGGGACGAAGCGUAAGUGACGGUACCUGCAGAAGAAGCACCGGCUAACUAUGUA
rnacentral:rRNA from 1 species